GACCGUGCAAAGGUAGCAUAAUCAUUUGCCUUAUAAUUGAAGGCUUGUAUGAAUGGUUUGACAAGAAUAAAUCUGUCUCUUUAUAAUUAAGUAUAAUUUUAUUUUCAGGUGAAGAAGCCUGUAUUAAAUUGAAAGACAAGAAGACCCUAUCGAGCUUGAAAAAAAUUAAUAAACCUGAAAUCGUAUUGAUAUUGAAUAACUUAUUAAGAAUUUUAGUUGGGGCGACAAAGGAACAGAAAAAGCUUCCUUAAAAUGGUAAGACAUACACGUAGUGAUCCAAACACUUUGAUUAAAGGAAUUAGUUACCGUAGGGAUAACAGCAUUAUCUUUUUUAAGAGUUCAAAUCGAAAAAAAGGUUUGUGACCUCGAUGUUGGACCAGAAUGUCCUAAAGAUGCAGCCGUCUUUAAGGGUUGGUCUGUUCGACCAUUAAAAUUCUACGUGAUCUGAGUUCAGACCGGCGUGAGCCAGGUCAGUUUCUAUCUUCAGUUUUUUAUGUGGACUUAGUACGAAAGGAUUAGUCUAUAAUAACAAGUUAUUAUCAUUGAUAAAGUAUAAAAGAAAAUUUAGUUAAUAUAAAUUUCCUAUAGAUCAAAUUAGCAAAGAUAAUGCAAUUGACUUAGGAUCAAUAGACAUAGGUGAAACUCCUUUAUUUGAUAUAUUAUAAAGAUGGCAGAUAAA
rnacentral:rRNA from 1 species